rnacentral:rRNA from 1 species
GAGGAGCCUGCGGCAGAUUAGCUAGUUGGUAAGGUAAAGGCUUACCAAGGCGAUGAUCUGUAGCCGGCCUGAGAGGGCGGUCGGCCACACUGACACUGACAUACGGGUCAGACUCCUACGGGAGGCAGCGGUCGGGAAUUUUGGGCAAUGGGCGAAAGCCUGACCCAGCAACGCCGCGUGAAGGAUGAAAUCCCUCGGGAUGUAAACUUCGCAAGAACGGGAAGAAUAAGUAAGGGUUAAUAUCUCUUACGAUGACGGUACUGUUUGUAAGCUCCGGCUAACUCCGUGCCAGCAGCCGCGGUAAUACGGGGGGAGCAAGCGUUGUUCGGAUUUACUGGGCGUAAAGGGCGGGUAGGCGGCCACUGCAAGUCGGUUGUGAAAUCUCCGGGCUUAACCCGGAAAGGUCAAUCGAUACUGCAGGGCUAGAGUGCAGAAGGGGCAACUGGAAUUCUCGGUGUAGCGGUGAAAUGCGUAGAUAUCGAGAGG